rnacentral:rRNA from 1 species
GAUGAACGCUGGCGGCGUGCCUAAUACAUGCAAGUCGAGCGAACGGACGAGAAGCUUGCUUCUCUGAUGUUAGCGGCGGACGGGUGAGUAACACGUGGAUAACCUACCUAUAAGACUGGGAUAACUUCGGGAAACCGGAGCUAAUACCGGAUAAUAUUUUGAACCGCAUGGUUCAAAAGUGAAAGACGGUCUUGCUGUCACUUAUAGAUGGAUCCGCGCUGCAUUAGCUAGUUGGUAAGGUAACGGCUUACCAAGGCAACGAUGCAUAGCCGACCUGAGAGGGUGAUCGGCCACACUGGAACUGAGACACGGUCCAGACUCCUACGGGAGGCAGCAGUAGGGAAUCUUCCGCAAUGGGCGAAAGCCUGACGGAGCAACGCCGCGUGAGUGAUGAAGGUCUUCGGAUCGUAAAACUCUGUUAUUAGGGAAGAACAUAUGUGUAAGUAACUGUGCACAUCUUGACGGUACCUAAUCAGAAAGCCACGGCUAACUACGUGCCAGCAGCCGCGGUAAUACGUANGUGGCAAGCGUUAUCCGGAAUUAUUGGGCGUAAAGCGCGCGUAGGCGGUUUUUUAGUCUGAUGUGAAAGCCCACGGCUCAACCGUGGAGGGUCAUUGGAAACUGGAAAACUUGAGUGCAGAAGAGGAAAGUGGAAUUCCAUGUGUAGCGGUGAAAUGCGCAGAGAUAUGGAGGAACACCAGUGGCGAAGGCGACUUUCUGGUCUGUAACUGACGCUGAUGUGCGAAAGCGUGGGGAUCAAACAGGAUUAGAUACCCUGGUAGUCCACGCCGUAAACGAUGAGUGCUAAGUGUUAGGGGGUUUCCGCCCCUUAGUGCUGCAGCUAACGCAUUAAGCACUCCGCCUGGGGAGUACGACCGCAAGGUUGAAACUCAAAGGAAUUGACGGGGACCCGCACAAGCGGUGGAGCAUGUGGUUUAAUUCGAAGCAACGCGAAGAACCUUACCAAAUCUUGACAUCCUUUGACAACUCUAGAGAUAGAGCUUUCCCCUUCGGGGGACAAAGUGACAGGUGGUGUAUGGUUGUCGUCAGCUCGUGUCGUGAGAUGUUGGGUUAAGUCCCGCAACGAGCGCAACCCUUAAGCUUAGUUGCCAUCAUUAAGUUGGGCACUCUAAGUUGACUGCCGGUGACAAACCGGAGGAAGGUGGGGAUGACGUCAAAUCAUCAUGCCCCUUAUGAUUUGGGCUACACACGUGCUACAAUGGACAAUACAAAGGGCAGCGAAACCGUGAGGUCAAGCAAAUCCCAUAAAGUUGUUCUCAGUUCGGAUUGUAGUCUGCAACUCGACUACAUGAAGCUGGAAUCGCUAGUAAUCGUAGAUCAGCAUGCUACGGUGAAUACGUUCCCGGGUCU